UUAACGCUAGCGGUGCGCCUAAUACAUGCAAGUCGAGCGGUAACACUUAGGGUGACGAGCGGCGAACGGCUGAGUAACACGUUGGUACGUACCCCAAACUCAGGGAUAGCCCACUGAAAAGUGGAUUAAUACCGGAUACCCUCGCAAGAGGAAAGAUUUAUCGGUUUGGGAGCGGCCUGCGGCCUAUCAGCUUGUUGGUAAGGUAAAAGCUUACCAAGGCUACGACGGGUAACUGGUGUGAGAGCACGACCAGUCAGAAUGGAACUGAGACACGGUCCAUACUCC
rnacentral:rRNA from 1 species